rnacentral:rRNA from 1 species
CACUUCUAAGGAAGGCAGCAGGCGCGCAAAUUACCCAAUCCUGACUCAGGGAGGUAGUGACAAGAAAUAACAAUAAACCGGCUUAUGCCGGUUUAAUUGGAAUGAGUACAAUUUAAACAUCUUAACGAGGAACAAUUGGAGGGCAAGUCUGGUGCCAGCAGCCGCGGUAAUUCCAGCUCCAAUAGCGUAUACUAAAGUUGUUGCAGUUAAAAAGCUCGUAGUUGGAUUUCUGUGGGGACGGAGCGGCCGGCCGCACAUCGCGGUUCGAGCUAGCGCUUUCCCUACAUCCUGCCGCGAACCGUGCUACCAUUAGUUUGGUGGCGCCGGGGAUCGGCUCGAUUACUUUGAGAAAAAUAGAGUGUUCAAAGCAGGCCACAUGCCUUGAAUAAGUUAGCAUGGAAUAAUAACUAAGGACUUCGGUUCUAUUUUGUUGGUGUUCGGGACUGAAGUAAUGAUUGAUAGGGACAGUUGGGGCGGUCUGUAUUCCAAAGCGAGAGGUGAAAUUCUUAGACCUUCGGAAGACAAACAGCUGCGAAAGCGUUCCGCAAGGAUGUUCCCUUUGAUCAAGAACGAAAGUUGGGGGAUCGAAGACGAUCAGAUACCGUCGUAGUCUCAACUAUAAACUAUACCAGCUAGGGAUCGGCCAACGUUAUUCUAUACCGACUUGGUCGGCACCUUAUGAGAAAUCAAAGCAUCUGGGUUCCGGGGGGAGUAUGGUCGCAAGGCUGAAACUUAAAGGAAUUGACGGAAGGGCACCACCAGCCGUGGAGCCUGUGGCUUAAUUUGACUCAACACGGGAAAACUUACCAGGUCCAGACAUAGUAAGGAUUGACAGAUUGAUAGCUCUUUCUUGAUUCUGUGGGUGGUGGUGCAUGGCCGUUCUUAGUUGGUGGAGUGAUUUGUCUGGUUAAUUCCGUUAACGAACGAGACCCCAGCCUGCUAAAUAGCGCGUGUGAGCUUUGCUCGCAGCGAGCUUCUUAGAGGGACUAUGAUGCGCGAUAGCACAUGGAAGUUUGGGGCAAUAACAGGUCUGUGAUGCCCUUAGAUGUUCUGGGCCGCACACGGGCUACACUGGCGCCUGCAACGAGCAUAUCAGCUGGCCCGAGAGGGUCUUGGCUAAUCUUUUGAACCGGCGCCGUGCUUGGGAUUGACCUUUGCAAUUGUUGGUCAUGCAACGAGGAAUGCCUUGUAAACGCGAGUCAUCAGCUCGCAUUGAAUACGUCCCUGCCCUUUGUACACACCGCCCGUCGCUCCUACCGAUGAAUGUUCCGAUGAAAUUUUCGGAGAGUGCCUGUGAACUUGGCUCUGCCUUGCGAACGGGAAGCUCAAAGUCACUUAAAUCUGAACAUUUCGA